rnacentral:antisense_RNA from 1 species
GGGCCUCUGCUAAUGGUGGAGAGAUCAAGGAAGAAAACAGCAAUGUUAAAGUGAGGCUGUACCCACAGAUCAUGCUCAAGCAAAUUCGAACCAUGAGCGCAUUUCUCUUAAACAAUGAACACUUAGAAUAAAAAUUAAAAUUUCCCACAAAUUUCUAUUUUUAAAAUAGUUUCCCAAGAUUUCAGUGGUAUUGUAUAUAUGCCCAUAUAAUUUUUUGGAUUACUAUUCCCACAAGUGUAAGAUGAAAGAGGACCUGCCCUCCAUUCUAUCUACUCCCUCUCUGCAAAGGCCAUUUUGAAGAUCUCAGUUUUACUGAAAGGGGUCUGCCACACAUAACUUCCCUGGUGUACCAGCAACAAGUGUUCAGUGGACCAUGGCAACACAAAGAAUGACGGAGGAGAGAAAAUGCUAUGCAGAAGUGAUAGUCAAGAUGAAGAUGUGGGAGAGGAGCAGCCCCCAGUAUAUAUUCAGUGUGUCCUCUGAAGUAACAACCAUCCCAUCUGGCUGAGAAGUGAUGGACACGGCUCCUUAACCACACUGUACCCUCUGUUCUUGGCACCUCUCUACCAGAAAGAUAUCGACAAAUUGGAUGGAAUUCAGAGAACAGUAAGAAAAAUGAUUAAAGAGAUGGAGGCAGUGACUUAUGAGGAAAGAUGAAAAGGACUAAAUCUGUAUAGCUUGGCAAAGCAACAACUGAGGUAGCGUAUGAAAACUGUCUACAAGCAUUUGAAGAAUAUAAACACCAAGGGAAGAGAGGGAACUUUUUAGAAUGGUCUGGGGAAUAAGCAGAUUAAGAGGACAGAAUUGAAGAAAGGAGAGAGAUAUGCUAAGUUGGGGGCGGGGGCGUUUUCUCAUCAAUCGUAAAUUUUGAAAAAUAACAAAAUUAAGUCUGGAGAGAAAGAGUUGCAUCUCAUGCUUUUAGGUUACAAUCAGUGUUGACCUGCACUGAGAAAAUGUGACUUCCUAUUAUCCUUCUCAAAGUUAUUGCUGCAGAGGAAAGAAGCAUACAUCUUUUACCCACCAGGAAACCCCCAAAGCACCUAUUACCAUAAUAGCCAUGGGAAACAGAAGGCACCUCAAAUAAAGGUGGGGAAAAGAAUGAAAGAAAUGGCUUUGGCCUGUGCCUGUUUGACCUCUGAGAGAUACUUUUUGCAAGAAAUUGUUAAGUUUUGGCCCAAAAAGUGGUCGGUCUUUUAUCCUUCCUUGUGGAGGCCAAAAUGCAAACCAGGAUGAAGAAACCAUCAGUGGCAGUUUGGGGAGGUGGAGGAGGGACUAACUAGACUCAGUGAAUCACCAAGGAAACAUGAGGCCU